rnacentral:rRNA from 1 species
UACAGAGGUCUCAAGCGUUGUUCGGAUUCAUUGGGCGUAAAGAGCUCGUAGGCGGUCUGUUACGUCUGCUGUGAAAACCCGGGGCUUAACCCUGGGCUUGCAGUGGAUACGGGCAGACUAGAGGCAGGUAGGGGAGAAUGGAAUUCCCGGUGUAGCGGUGAAAUGCGCAGAUAUCGGGAGGAACACCGGUGGCGAAGGCGGUUCUCUGGGCCUGACCUGACGCUGAGGAGCGAAAGCGUGGGGAGCGAACAGG